GUGGAGCUGGGCACCGUGAACUUCGGUGUGAUUGGAAGGGUUUCUUCGUGGAGGACCGAGUUAGUGAGUUGUGAGGAUUGGAUACCUGCUGAGCUGAAGUCAGUCUGCGGAAUGUCUUCCAAAGUAACCAAGUCAAAGCUGAAAAGCAGCCAGCUUCUUGCCAGUCAAGAUGGAGCUGGCACACCUGCCUGGUGACAAAGGGAGCCUCAAAUGCCACACUAAAAGGAAGAAGACAAGAAUGCAUUCCAAGCCUCUCAACGUUACUUGUAAUACACUUUAGUUCACUGAUGAAGAAAAUAACAGUUACCUGUGUCUGUAGAAUAGACUCGGAAACUCUUAUCCCAGAAGCCACAGACCAGAAUAUAGCGGUUGUCCGAAGUAAUGACAAAGCACUGGGAAUGGACUUGAAUACUUUGGUCUAAAAGGUCAGUGAUUUGCCUCCUGUGCAUUCCUGUAUUGCUGGCUGUGAGAACAGAGGAAGAAAAAUAAAAACCCUACUAAACCCUGAUGGACAAAGAA